AUCUGCCUUAAUAUUCUGCAAAAGCUAAGUAAUCCUAUUGAGAUUGUGCAGAGGAGGCUUUGGAUUUCACAACCAACAUCCUGGAGGAAAUUUAUGAGAUGCUUAAACUGUUACACCUCAAGAAGACAGAGCAGAGUGUGUGGACCAUAUUGGGCCCUUUUCAUGUGUGAUUUCAUGUAUAUAAGGUGGAACAGAACCACACUACUAGAUCCAACCAUGAAAUCACACUCUGUGCUGAUUCCUCUCCCUCAUUAUCUGCACAUUCGUGUUGGAGACCUGAAAAGAGAGAGCUCUUGCACAAUCUGUUGAAAGAGAAGAAAAACAAGGAGAAACAUUUGAUCCUGCAAUUUUCAGCUUCUGCCCUUCUCAUUUGCACAAAAAGAAACAGGAAGCCACAUAACAUGCCCUGAAGAAUGGGACAAACCAGGUUGUGCAGGAAAUCAAAAGGAAGAUGAAUUGUCAAAAAAGUUGAGUGAGGAUUACAUUCUUUGAUCUCCUA